AGUGAACGCUGGCGGUAGGCCUAACACAUGCAAGUCGAACGGUAACACGAUGCGGCUUUCUGCUUCGCUGAGGCGUGUCGGACGGGGGUGUAAUGUCCGUGAAGCUGUCUGUUUUCGUGGGAGAACUACUGGAAACGGUAGCGAAUACCGCAUAAUCUCGCUACACCAAAGAGGGGGAGCUUCUGGCACCUUGCCAUCGUGUAUGAGCAGAUGUGGGAUUAGCUAGUUGGGGGGGUAACGGCCCACCAAGGCGACGAUCCGUAGCUGGUCUGAGAGGAUGAUCAGCCACACUGGAACUGAGACACGGUCCAGACUCCUACGGGAGGCAGCAGUGGGGAAUAUUGGACAAAGGGCGCAAGCCUGAUCCAGCCAUGCCGCGUGGAUGAAGAAGGCCUUCGGGUUGUAAAGUACUUUUGGUGGGGAAGAAGAGAAGAAAGUUAAUACCUUGCCGUACUGACGUUACCCAAAGAAUAAGCACCGGCUAACUUCGUG
rnacentral:rRNA from 1 species